rnacentral:lncRNA from 1 species
UGCAAGUAAGAUUUCUAAUAUCUUAUAAAAAAAGAUCCGAUUUGAAUCUAAUUCGAAGCUAGUUCGAAAUAAUUUCGAAAGGUUGUCAAUCUCAAACUCUUUAAGACUUUUGUACUAAGUCUAACUUAGAUUUUAAAUCUAAUUAAGUCUAAUUAAUUCAGAUCUAAUCUGAAUUAAUUAGCACUUAAAUCCAAUCUCUUAUAGACUUCUUGGAUCAUAGAUUAAGAAC